UUGCCCCUGUGUGACUCUCAUGCAAGGCUCUGGUCUGAAGGACGUGAGAGGACAAAGGCCAGUCAUCUGUAAUGUGAUGGGCUGUUAGGGUGAUAUAAGACUCCUCAGCUCGUGAGGUCCAUGCGUCGCAGGUAAGGGUGACUCGUUGAGCUCUGCUUAGCAAUUCUUUUACUUCUGACUUAACCUCGUUAUAGAUUUUAGGCACAGCUGUCUCUGAGAAAAACUUCCUUGAUGGUAUAACGUACUGCAGCUCCAAUGUGUAAACCAUGUUUCGAAAACCUGUAUUUUCCACCACGCUAUAUGGACGAAGGUCUUUGCGGAUAAAAAGAGCAAUUGACUUUGUGAUGCAUUUUGCUUUCUCUGAACCAUUGGGUAACCUAUUCAUUGUCCCAUCCAGAGUUCGUUAGCUUGCUGCUGCUACAGGUUGUUUGGCUAACUCCACAUUUAGCUCUGGAUGGUACUCAGUGGGACUCUGGAACUGCCAGUCAGCUGUGAACAAAGCUGACUUCAUUCCAGCCUUUGCCACACUGUCCACCAUCAGCAUCUUGGCACAGACAGAAACAUGAAUAUGUCCAAAGGAUACAGCAACACCUGCUGCUCUCUCCAACAACUUCUCCUUCUCUCACACCCCUCGACACACCGGUAGGGGUGGGGGAACAGGUUUGCUCAUUCAUAACAACUGGACUUUUUCACCACACUCUUCUCUAUGUAACAAUACUACUUUUGAAUUCUGUUCUAUUACUACAAUGCAACCCACAAAAUACAUGUUGUUGUCAUUUAUCGCCCUCCAGGUCAGCUGGCAAACUUUCUCGAGGAGUUGGAUGUCCUGCUGUCCUCCUUCCCGGAGGAUGGUAAGCCACUUGUGGUUCUUGGCGAUUUCAACAUACACCAAGAUAAGCCCCAGGCCACUGAACUAAAUGUUCUUCUGGCCUCAUUUGACUUGGAAAGACUAAGCACCACAGCAACUCACAGAUUGGGCAACCAGCUGGACCUCAUUUUUACACGUAACUGUACCAACUCAAAUAUGUCCUGCUGUCCUCCUUCCCGGAGGAUGGUAAGCCACUUGUGGUUCUUGGCGAUUUCAACAUACACCAAGAUAAGCCCCAGGCCACUGAACUAAAUGUUCUUCUGGCCUCAUUUGACUUGGAAAGACUAAGCACCACAGCAACUCACAGAUUGGGCAACCAGCUGGACCUCAUUUUUACACGCCAGCAAGUACUACCAGCCCCUGGCUCUCUGACGUCCUUCGUGAACAUCGGACUGACCUCAGGGCAGCUGAGAGGAGAUGGCGGAAAUCCAAAGAUCCAUCAGAUCUAGGUAAGCAUCAGUCUCUGCUUGCAACUUUUUCAGAUAAUGUUAAAUCUGCAAAAACGUCUUACUACCAGAACAAGAUCAACAGCACCACAGACACUUGCAGCUUGUUUAGAACAUUCAACACACUUCUCUGUCCUCCCCCUCCACCACCUGACAUAUCACUGAAAACAGAUGUCUUCGCCACAUUUUUUACUAAUAAGGUUACAACCAUCAGCAAUACAUUCUCAGCACCUCACCCUGUCAAACACCUGUCUCCUGUAUGCAACUCUUCUGUCUCUAUGUUCUCUCCUCUGACUGACACUGAGGUCUCUAAACUCCUCCUCUCCAACCACCCCACCACCUCUUCCCUUGACCCCAUUUCUUCUCACCUUCUCCAGGCCAUCUCUCCAUCCAUCUUACCUGCACUCACUCACAUAAUUAACACAUCUCUACUUACAGGCACUUUUCCCACUACAUUUAAGCAGGCUCGAGUAACCCUGCUGCUGAAGAAACCCGCCCUUAACCCCACACAAAUAGAACACCCCAGUCUCUCUCAUUCCAAAAACAUUUGAAAGGGCAGUUUUCAAUUAAAUCUCCGCCUAUCUCUCACAGAACAAGCUGCUGGAUGACAAUCAGUCAGGCUUCAAAACUGGACACUCCACCAAGACUGCCCUGAUGUCUGUCACUGAGUCGCUGAGACAGGCGAAAGCUGAAUCCAGAUCAUCCGUCCUGAUUCUACUGGACCUUUCUGCAGCAUUCGACACAGUCAACCAUAAGAUCUUACUCUCCACCCUCUCUUUGCUGGGCAUCACAGGAACUGUGCUUGACUGGUUUAAUUCCUAUAUCUCAGCCAAUGACACCACAGUGACUGCUCGAAUCUCUGCCUGCCUGGCAGACAUCUCGGCCUGGAUGAAGGAACACCACCUGCAACUUAACCCAAGACCGAACUCCUUGUCUUUCCAGCCAACCCUGCUGUUGAACACAACAUCACCGUGCAGCUGGGUGCAACUACAGUAACGCCUUCCAAAAUGGUCAGGAAUCUAGGGGUAACCAUCGAUAACAAACUACAUUUCACAGACCAUAUCUCAAAGACCGCAAGAUCAUGUAGAUUUACACUCUACAAUAUCAGGAAGAUAAGACCCUUCCUCUCUGAACAUGCUACACAACUUCUUGUACAGUCACUUGUCAUAACUAGACUGGACUACUGUAACGCUCUCAUUGUAGACCUCCCUGCAUGUGCAAUUAGACCCCUGCAAAUGAUCCAGAAUGCAGCAGCAUGUCUGGUCUUUAAUAAACCAAAGAGAGCGCAUGUUACACCACUCCUUGUCUCUCUUCACUGGCUGCCGGUUGAUGCACGUAUCAAGUUCAAGACUCUGAUGCUGGCAUACAAAACAGUCACUGGGUCUGCUCCAGCAUACCUAAAAUCAUUUCCGCAGAGCUACGUGCCCACUAGAAGCCUGCGGUCGGCUAAGGAAAGUCGCCUUGUUGUACCAACACAAAGAGGCACCAAAACAUGUUCCUGGACUUUCAGCUUCAUCAUACCACAUUGGUGGAAUGACCUUCCCAACUCCAUCUGUGAAGCUGACUCACUUUCUGUCUUCAAAAAACGGCUAAAAACACAUCUUUUCCAUGAGCACUUAACCAGUCACAAAAAAUAAAUAAAAUAAUAAUAAUAAUUUCCUUGUUGCACUUUAAUCUGUUUUGAAUGCUAUUCUGAUGCUAGUGAAACUUUGUAAUAUGGCACAUUUCAUACCACUGUCUCCUUAAGAUGAUUUGCUUAUGUGUUCCUCUUUUGUACGUCGCUUUGGAUAAAAGCCUCUGCCAAAUGAAUAAAUGUAAAUGGAUGUUGUCGAGCAAGAUGGGCACUCAUGUUGGUCGCAUUACCACAAUAUGAUACCAGUGCAUGACAGAGUUUGAAUACCAAUUUAGUCAUAUCUAUCUCUGCAUUUCCUGGUAAUGUGUAAAAUCCAAAGUGUUUCCAUACUUUGGAUUUAAAAUGUGAGGGUGCAGGUCGUAUUACCGCAGAUCUUUGACCAUCCGCCAUUUUUUGGCUUUCUCGUGUCCGCUUGAAAUGGAUAUGAUGUCACGUAAUACUCAUAGAUGUCAACAAAUACAUUUUGCCCUCUGCUGGAAUAAAAGCUGUAACUUCUCUCCACCUCAUCUAUUAGCAAAGACUAAAAUAAAGCAAUUGAAUAUGAAUUAUAUCGAUUCUGGAGUAAAAAAAUCUAUUUCAAAAUCAUAAAAAAAACAAUUGCGAUAGUUAAGUGAAUCGAUUUUUUCCCCACCCCUAAUUCAGACAGUUGUAAUUUUCCAUAAAGUCCCAAGCACUUUCAUUAUUAAUAAAACUUCCUUCCCAACUGGGUUUAUGAAGGGGUUAAUUCUUACUAUAUGACUAUAGUUCAUAUAUCCAUUCUAAGUGUUCCCCUACUGGCUCACCAUGAGGGUUAUUCACUUGCGGCAUACUCAUGUUGGUCGCCGUCCCGCAGAACUGUGGUGUCAUGGUCUUUCGAGUAUUAUGCUUCGGUAUCCCACUCUGGGAGGGUUAUGUCGUGUAGUGCGGCGUGAUGAGACUAGUUUUCCCAUAUGCGUCAGCAUGACGCAAUGUCUAUUGAACAGAAUCGUAAGGGAAUGUCUCGGUUACGUAUGUAAACUCGGUUCCCUGAGAUAAAGGGAAUGAGACAUUGUGUAAGCUGGCCACACUACAGACUCAGAGUUUUUUGAUCUGUGAGCGAUGCGUUCUUUGUCCCUCCGUCAGUAAACUCUGAGGAAUAGUGUUUGCGCACCCGCUUAUGUACCGGACAGCUUUGCGCCUAAAAGGGUGGGGCUUAAA